rnacentral:lncRNA from 1 species
CCCUCUUUGGGCUUUUGGGUCUGAAAUGAAAGUUUCUCAAAGGUGAUUUCCCAUCAAGUAGGGCAAAGGUUCAGCAAUGUGGAUCUUUCUGAGACUGAGAUUUAUUUUUAUUUUCCCAGAGGUUCCUGAGAAUUGCUUGUUACUGCUCUUUGACUAUCUUCAGAGAUUGUGUGACCUGGUUGCACAUGCCUGCCUACCAAGUAACAGAAAGAUGCUGCCAUUGCACUGUGAGCUGAGAUUCACAUGGAACUGUUCCAUAGAGCUAUGGCUGGAAUCAGAGGCUCUUACUAAACCAAGGAAUGGUGUGUUCCUUAGGCCAGCCGCAUCACCUGGGAGCUUGUUAGAAAUGCAGAAUUUCCACCUACAGACUCCAAAUCUGCAUUUUAACAAGUCUGCGGAAGAUGGGAUUGUGUGCUCGAGUUUGAGAAGCACAGUUUAAGGUUUUAUCUCCAGUAAUUUGCCUUCUCUGAAAAGGGCAUCCCUCCUGCUUUAGUGUAGAGACAGUUCAUAAAGCCUAGAACAGCAAACUCUCAUUUAGAAUCAAUUAAGAGAAGUUUUCGUGGCUCUGGUUGUUUUCCGCUUUGAAACAAAUAGAGCCUUUUGAAAUCUUUAACGGAUGCUUUUUUCCCCAGCUGAUUUUAGCUGGGCCUAACACAUCCCCCGGUCACGGCUCAGAGUCCUGGAUGAAUGAAGGCACAAGGCGGCCGUGGUAACUGUGUAUUUCUUCUUGGCGUUUCUGGACCUGCCAAAGACCGGUGAAAUGUUGAAGGUUCACCACCCCUUCCAUUGACUUGGCUCUCCAGUUCUUUCUCUGCUUUUUGUGGGUUCCAUGAAAGGGUGAUAAUAACCUAUUUUACUUAUCCAUCAAGAGCUAUGACCCAGAAGCUUCUUCCCAGUUCGUCAAGAAAGGAGGGCGGCAUGGCUAGGUCAGCCAAUCAGAGUAAUGAGGCUCUCCAGCCUGGCAAAGUGAGAUUAAUCUAAAUCAAAUACUUUCCACCUUGACAAUUUUAACUAAUUCCCCCAGGAAAGUACAAGAAAUACGUGGAGCCCCGACAGUCGCACAAGUCUCCUGGUACGGCGAGGCAGGUAAUACCUUUUAAGCUUGUUAAUAUCUUCUCCCGCUGGGUUCUACAACUGACUCAAAGCAGCAGCGACUCCUCCACCAGCAUUACAAAGGAAGGCAGCUUUCAGGGAGGAAGACCAAAAAUCCGGGGCUCUACAGAGGAUGGCUUUAUUCUGUGGCCGAUCACUCCGCCUGCCUUGAUUAAAUUGCUUCCCGCAUUGUCUUUCUGCCUCUGUCCCAGCAAUCAUCAGAGGAUACAAAGUGCCGGGAUUCAAGGGCUGUACUGCGAGAUAUUCAGGCUGCAGAUUAGAGAGGCUUCCUUCCUUCCUCCCACAAGAUGCAUAUGCUAUGCAGUGUUCCAUCUGCAGGGACCACACCGCGAGGCGGACCUGGGAGAGGGCAGCUCAGGUGCGCCAUGACUCCUGGGGGCGCGGGGUGUCCCCCUCCUCGCAGCGGUAACCGUGUGAACACCUGAGGCCCGCUCAACGGGCAGGGCUCCCUGGAUAACCACUGCACGGCUUCUCCGAUGACCUCUCUUUCCACCUUCAACAAAAGGAAAGGUCUUAAGCGGGCCCAGCUUUCUUGGUUUUUCAAACAGAAGCCGCAAUGGAAAACAAGCUAGAUUUUUUACUUCGUGGGCACCGACCUAGGACUCCUGCCUGAAAUUGCCAACGGUGAUAAAAAUAAAAGUGCCUCUGUGCCUAGAACA